AGUGUUCUUUUCUUUCUCAAUCCUUACUCCCCAACUCAGGCAUGUUCAUGUUGUGAUGGCUGGGCUGCCACAAGUGGGGCCCAAACAGGGACCAGAGUAUCGAGGGAUCUAGUGAAGGACACCGUAGAGAAGAAGGAGGCCUCAACAAAAAGCUUGAAGCUGGGUUUCCACUGAGGAGACUGGAUUGGGACCCCAACACUGAAGCAACAGAGAAAACUCUCAGUGCACAACCAGAAAUUUCAUUCCAAAAAGCAUAAUGUGACCAUCUUCUCUUUGGAAAAAGGACAAAAUGGAACUGAACUCCAGUGAGGAAGACCUCCUCCCUCACACCACCUCUUGUGUGUUUGGCUACUUCUGGUUUUGAUAAUAUGACUGGUGUGAAGCCAAAGUCUCUUCUCCCAAGUCCACCCAUCUGCCCAGUCCUGCCUCUGACACAGAGUCCCUGAUAGACCUCUACAAGUUUCAUCGUUUCUGUCCUGAUGAGUUCUCUUCUCACCUUAGCAAAGGAGCCAAGACUCAGUGAUUCUUCUAUCUUCAUGGUGCCAUGUAAGCUACCACCAUCCUCAUUGUGGUGGGUUGACUAAUGGUCAACUUGUAAUGCCCAGCUGAACUGAAUCAGCAUGGUCUGGGCAUGGAGGAU